rnacentral:rRNA from 1 species
UCUUAUUACAUAAAUUUUCUUGAGUAGUAAUAUAGAAACUUAAAAUUUUGACGGUAUUUAGUUUUCCAAAGGAAUAUGUGAUUUAAUCGUCAAUACACGAAAAUUUUACUUAUUUUAUUUUUGUAUAUCUCCGUUAAUAGACUUUAUUAAAAAUUUUUAAAAUUUUCUUUAAAAAUAAUUUUAUUAUUUCAGGUCAAGGUGCAGAAUAAAUAAGAUAUCAUGUAUUACACUCAAAUAUAUUGUAUUGAAUAAAUAUUGAAAUAUAUUUUGAAAUUGAAUUUGUAAGUAGAAUAAUUAUAAAAUUUUAUUUGAAAUGAUACUAAAUAUGU